AAUGAACGCUGGCGGCAGGCCUAAUACAUGCAAGUCGAACGAGUGGCGGACGGGUGAGUAAUGUCUGGGACACUGCCCGAUGGAGGGGGAUACUUACGGGAACCGGAACCUAUUCCGGCAUAGCAUCCGCUGUGACAAGCUGGGAUGAGAUAGUAGGUGGGGUAACGGCUCACCUAGGCGACGAUCCCUAGCUGGUCUGAGAGGAUGACCGGCCACACUGGAACUGAGACACGGUCCAGACUCCUACGGGAGGCAGCAGUGGGGAAUCUUGCGCAAUGGGCGCAAGCCUGAUGCAGCCAUGCCGCGUGUAUGAUGAAGGCCUUCGGAUUGUAAAGUACUUUCAGCGGGGAGGCGUUACUCGCAGAAGAAGCACCGGCUAACUCCGUGCCAGCAGCCGCGGUAAUUC
rnacentral:rRNA from 1 species